rnacentral:rRNA from 1 species
CUUGCUUCCACUGAGAAGAUAGUGGCGGACGGGUGAGUAACACGUGGGUAACCUGCCCAUAAGAGGGGGAUAACAUCCGGAAACGGGUGCUAAUACCGCAUAGUUUUCUUGAUCGCAUGAUCGAGAAAGGAAAGACGGCCUUUGUGCUGUCGCUUAUGGAUGGACCCGCGGCGUAUUAGUUAGUUGGUGAGGUAACGGCUCACCAAGACGAUGAUACGUAGCCGACCUGAGAGGGUGAUCGGCCACAUUGGGACUGAGACACGGCCCAAACUCCUACGGGAGGCAGCAGUAGGGAAUCUUCCGCAAUGGACGAAAGUCUGACGGAGCAACGCCGCGUGAGUGAAGAAGGUUUUCGGAUCGUAAAACUCUGUUGUCAGAGAAGAACAAGUCGGAGAGUAACUGCUCCGGCCUUGACGGUAUCUGACCAGAAAGCCACGGCUAACUACGUGCCAGCAGCCGCGGUAAUACGUAGGUGGCAAGCGUUGUCCGGAUUUAUUGGGCGUAAAGCGAGCGCAGGCGGUUCCUUAAGUCUGAUGUG